GACAAAGAAAACUGAACGUGAUUGCCUUAGCGUAAGUAGAUCACAUAAGCAUCACUUGAGUAAAUAAAGAGUUAUUGGACAUCGAGUCAGCAUUUCGAACUAUAGCAUAAUUUUUUUCUUUUGGAUAUUUUGGCAAAAAUGGAUUUCUUCCGAAAUAUUAAUUUAAUUCACAGCAUUAUUGCAUUUAUUUUCGUUAUGGAUCUGGUAUGGGCUCUAGAUAUUUUGGACAUAAUGGCAACUGAUCCGACUAUAAUACAAACAGCCAAUUAUCCACAAAAUAGUGAAGGGCAAGGAAUGUGGAAUCAUUUGGCAUCAUCAACACUGCCUACAAUGAACCAGCCAAUGAGGGUACAUACACAUACCACAGUCAAACCAACAACAAAACACGCCCAUAGUCAUGCAGGAAAAAAGAUGGGCCAUGCACAUGGUGGUAAAAUGAAAAUGAUGAUGAUGCAUUCCAAGUGCAAGUCCAAAAUGAAAAUGUAAAACAUGUGAUUGAAAAUAAAUAUUAAAAAUGUGGGGAAGUCUAUGGAAAAUUGGGAAACUAAAUUCCCUUCUCAAAGUGGAUAUGACGGAACGUUUGAAGAAUUUCUUUGUAUCAAAAUAUAUGGCCUUGAAUCUACUUUUGAAACUACCUUGCUUGAAUUUUUCUCUUUAGAUUAUCCAUUCAAUACUUGUUAGCUGCCUCUAAUUAGCCACACGCCUUCAACUGCCCUUACGAGUUGAAUGACAAAACAUUUUUUUUUCAAUUUCAUCUUCUUUAUUGUUAAUGACAUUUAAUUGACUUAAUCUAAGCAAUAACUUCUAUAGAUCUCUCUUCCAUACAUGCACAUACACAUAAAUAUACACACGUAUAUACAAAAUAUUUA